rnacentral:rRNA from 1 species
CUUGGUCAUUUAGAGGAAGUAAAAGUCGUAACAAGGUUUCCGUAGGUGAACCUGCGGAAGGAUCAUUCAUAAUAAGUGUUUUAUGGCACUUUUUAAAUCCAUAUCCACCUUGUGUGCAAUGUCAGUCGAUCUUCUUCAUGGAGAUCGGCCAAACAUCAACCUUAUUUUUUAACUCUUUGUCUGAAGAAUAUUAUGAAUAAACAAUUCAAAAUACAACUUUCAACAACGGAUCUCUUGGCUCUCGCAUCGAUGAAGAACGCAGCGAAAUGCGAUACGUAAUGUGAAUUGCAGAAUUCAGUGAAUCAUCGAAUCUUUGAACGCAUAUUGCGCUCUUUGGUAUUCCGAAGAGCAUGCUUGUUUGAGUAUCAGUAAACACCUCAAAGCUUUUGGAUUUUUUUUGAAAGCUUUGGACUUGAGCAAUCCCAACGCCAAUCUUUUUCAGAUCGGCGGCGGGUUGCUUGAAAUGCAGGUGCAGCUGGACUUUCUCCUGAGCUAAAAGCAUAUUCAUUUAGUCCCGUCAAACGGAUUAUUACUUUUGCUGCAGCUAACAUAAAGGGAGUUUGACCGUAUUGGCUGACUGAUGCAGGAUUUUACAAGGGUCGGCAACGAUUCUUGUUAAACUCGAUCUCAAAUCAAGUAAGACUACCCGCUGAACUUAAGCAUAUCAAUAAGCGGAGGA